rnacentral:rRNA from 1 species
UACGAAGGGGGCUAGCGUUGCUCGGAAUGACUGGGCGUAAAGGGCGCGUAGGCGGAUGGCACAGUCAGAUGUGAAAUUCCUGGGCUUAACCUGGGGGCUGCAUUUGAUACGUGUGAUCUAGAGUGAGGAAGAGGGUUGUGGAAUUCCCAGUGUAGAGGUGAAAUUCGUAGAUAUUGGGAAGAACACCGGUGGCGAAGGCGGCGACCUGGUCCUUAACUGACGCUGAGGCGCUAAAGCGUGGGGAGCAAACAGG